rnacentral:rRNA from 1 species
UACGGAGGGUGCAAGCGUUAUCCGGAUUUAUUGGGUUUAAAGGGUGCGUAGGUGGCUUGUUAAGUCCGGGGUGAAAGCCCACAGCUCAACUGUGGAACUGCCCUGGAUACUGGCGAGCUUGAGUCCAGACGAGGUUGGCGGAAUGGAAGCUGUAGCGGUGAAAUGCAUAGAUAGCUUCCAGAACCCCGAUUGCGUAGGCAGCUGACUAGGCUGGUACUGACACUGAGGCACGAAAGCGUGGGGAGCGAACAGG